CUCCCACGCCCCAGCGGCCUCAUUUCCACGGAAGAAGCACAAUGCACUCUGAGCUCUAAAUAAAACCCUUUCACAGUUGCCCUGAAGUUAUUUUCUAGGCUUCCAUCCCUCCCCCUCUGCCCCCCCUCGGGUAUGUGGUGCUCUCCCGGCGGCUGACCUUCGCACCCAGCACUCAGGACCCGGUUGUUGUCCUUUGGAGGGGCCGCGGCAGACGGGGGCGGGCGGUUGGCAAACAGGACAUUGGCCUCCAGCACUUGGCGAUAAACGCGGCGGCACUGAUGGUGUCUUAGGGCAGUGCUCGGCACGGCGCUGGCACUGCUUUGUCCCGCUCCCGUCGACCGUACCCAGAGCUCUGCUCCCCCUGAGCCUGCCCACGGCCGGGCACUGCGCGGGGCCACGUGUGUAGGGCGAGGUGUGAGCCCGGCUGCCGGACAUGGGCAGCAGUGCGCCUCGAGCAGCGCGUGCCGCUGGGAGAAUCCAGCCCUCGCUCUGCCUUCAGCACGGCCAAGCCCAGCCCCGCCGCCGCUCUGUGCACGCACGCUUCUCCCUGCCUGCAGACACGUUACGGCAGUGCCCCGGGCACACAGCACCACUCGCAGCUCGGUUUGAGAUGGGAACAGGAAGAAAUGUGUCAACACUUUCAUGUCUCUGCAUGUCGGAGCGGCGUGCCUGGCCAGGGCUGUGUGCUGCGGGCACACGUGUCACGGGCAGCACCAGGGCUGUGUGUGGGGCCGCGCUCUGCUGCGCAGGGCUAUGAGCCCGAGCCCCACAGCACUGCAGGGGCCCCUCGGCACCGCUGUGUGCAGGCACUGCCGCAUCCCAGCAGGGCAGGCCAUGAUCUGACCCCCUGUGCAGGCUCUGUGAACAUGGCAGUGUGCCCCGAGGUCCCCACACACCGUGUGGCUGUGAUUAAAAACAGGCUGUGUGCAAACCAUGUGGGGCUUUGUGUUAAUUAAGUGUUGCCUCGUAAGGUGCGUGCUGGGAUACAGAGGUGCAGGAGUGGGGCUGAUGGCAAAAUGAGCUGCUGAUCAAAGAGCUGCUCAGUGCUGGGGGGCCGGGUUGGGGGGGCCCUCGCUGGGGUCCAGGUCCCCACUGCAGCCCCACAGUCAAAGCACGGAGCUACAGCCCCACACCGAGCAGCCCUGCUCUGUUCCUCAGCCCCGUCCCUGCAGCACCGCCGCUGCUAACACGGCUCUCUUGUUAAGUCGGGACAGUUCUGGAGAUGAGGCACACGAGGCAGUACUCAGCUCUGGGUGCUGGGGCUGCCAGGCGCUGCUGGCUUUGCCCACAGCCCCGGUUCGUGUCCGUGAUGGGAUAUCCAUACUUUCUUCCCUAUGCACGGGAGCGUUUUACAGAGAAAUGCUGUCAGCAUUCUGAGGGGCUGCUGCAUUCCAGCAUCUCAGUUUUAACACCACUCAGUGUGAAAACAUGAACAUUUUGACUCCAACUACGGAAUGACAAAUGUGAGCGCCAGACAUCUGCCACUCAUUUCAGAAUGUCACCAUUCCCCACAGCGCAGCAGUGCUGGCACGGGGCUGCGUGGGGCCCCAGGGCGGUGCUGCUCCUUUGCCCCAUCCCUGCCCGCAGUGGGGAAUCCCAGCAGGAAAUGGCCAUUCACACUGCAGUGUGUGUGCCCGGGUCAGCAGCUCGGCUCACCCAGCAGCCACAGUGCUGUUUGCAGAGCUCUUCGUGCACAACAGCUGCGUCUGCUGAGCAGCAAACUGCGUGGGAAAGAACUUCGAUAAAUAAAAAGUUAUUAAAUGUAAACAAAGGCUGUGCAGGAACGGCUGAAGGUUCAAAAGUUGUGACCGUCAUGGACAACUUUUGUCAUCCCUUGGGAACCAACUGGGACUUCUCAAGAGUAAGAAUUGCUUUCCUUCCCUGCAGGCCCACCUGCGCUCACUUCCCUCUGGCUGCAGCCACGUGCAGACAGAGCUGUGCACACCUGGGAGCUGCACAGGGGCACGGGGCUGCCUGGAAGGACCUCCUCCUGCAGCACUCCUCCAUGUGGGAGAGGAGGAGGUGAGCAGCACUGCAGUGGUGUGGCAGCACCCAGCAUGGCGUGCACUGCUGUCUGCUCUGCUCAUUGGAGUCGGUUCCUGCCGGCUGUGGUCAGGAUGGGGCCCACACCGCCCUGCACCGCUGCAGGAAGGAGCUGGCAGCAGAGGCCCCAGCAUGGUUUGCAGGGAGGAAACCAAAGCAUGUGGCUGCGCAGCUCACAGCACAGCACAGGGCAACAUGCUUGAGCAGCAGGCUAAUAGCCACGGCCAGCAGCGUGCCCUCAGUGCAUGGAGGGCUGUCGCAUCCCUUCCCCUGCAUCACACUCCGCAUUUGCUCUGCAGUGAAGCAUGGGUUAGAAGGCUGAGCCACCCAAUGCAGGUCACUGCAGCAGUGCCGUACGCCACAGGGAAUGCCACGAGUGCUGCCCCGUCACUGCGCUCCGCAUCCUGCGCUGCUCUGCAAAAACGAGAGCCCCAGCACAGCCCCGGACCCACACAGCCCACUGCUCACCCCAAAGCUGUGUGUUCCCCAGUGGGACCGUGGCGUGGAAGAGCCCAUCUUUCCCAGGCAGCGAUGGGAGCAGGAGGGGUGUGAUGGGCGCCUCCUGCAGAGCAGCCGGCCCCUCUGCCUCUGCUGCGUGCAGCCCUGGGAGUGCAGCGCUUUUUCUGCAGCUGCAGGAGAUGCAGGGGGGUUCACGUCCCACUGGCUGCUCGCUGUUUUUUUCAGCUGGCUCUGAGAAGUGCGGGUAAUUAGGAAAAAUCUAUAACAAGAAGUACAAACAAGUCACGGUCUGCCAUUAGCCAGAAAGUCUGCCCUCUGCCUCAGCUACAGCUUGAUUCAAUCAGAAUAAUGAAGCAGAAGCUGUGCAGAGGGAAACAGCACUUGGGGAAGGUCUGAAAACACAGAGGCACAGCUCGGAGAGCAGGUCUUGCAGUGGAACCUGAAGUGGGGGUGUGGGCUGAUGCUGGGCCAACACCUCUGUGAGCGCAGCGCAGCGCAGCCUAUGGCAUGUGCAGAGGGGCACCGGGGAAAGGCACCCAGACUCAGUGGAGGGAGCAGAGCCCUUCCCCUGUCCCACUGCCCAGCUGCUGUCCCACCCACACACCACAGGGCCAUGACCGCCCGCACUGUGGGGCUCUGCCCCUCUCUGCAUGCCCCCCCGUGACCCC
ensembl:lncRNA